rnacentral:rRNA from 1 species
AUGCCCACGCCGGUGCCCACGGCGAGGCAGUGCCUCUCGCCGGCGGCCGUCACGGCCCUCGACGCCGCGGUCGUCUCCGCGCGCCGCAGGGUGCACGCGCAGACCACGUCGCUCCACCUCGUCGCCGCGCUGCUCGCGCAGCAGGCCCCGCCGCUCCUCCGCGACGCGCUCGCGCGGGCCCGCAGCGCCGCCUACUCCCCGCGCGUGCAGCUCAAGGCGCUCGAGCUCUGCUUCGCCGUCUCCCUCGACAGGCUCCCCUCCGCCUCCGCCUCCUCGUCGGCCUCGGGCGCCGACGAGCAGCCGGAGCCGCCCGUGUCCAACUCGCUCAUGGCGGCCAUCAAGCGCUCGCAGGCCAACCAGCGCCGCAACCCGGACACCUACCACUUCUACCACCAGGCCGCCUUCCAGGCCGCCACCGCCGCCUCGCAGGUCAGGGUCGAGCUCUCGCAGCUCCUGCUCGCCAUCCUCGACGACCCCGUCGUCAGCCGCGUCUUUGACGACGCCGGCUUCCGCAGCGCUGACAUCAAGCUCGCCAUCCUCCGCCCCGCGCCGCCCAUGCCGCUGCUCGGCCGCCUCCCUACGCGGGCCCGCCCGCCGCCUCUCUUCCUCUGCAGCUUCGCCGCCGCCGACGACGCCGACGUGCCCUCGCCCGCCGGGAGCAUCGCAGGCGGCGCCGGCGAGGAGAACGGCCGCCGCAUCGCCGAGAUCCUCGCCCGGGGUCGCAACCCCAUGCUCGUCGGUGUCGGGGCCGCGUCCGCCGCCGCAGACUUCGCCGCGGCCUCGCCGUACCGCGUCCUCCCCGUCUGUCCAAACUCCAUCGACCAAACAGAACUCGGCGUGGAGGCGGCGAUGGCUAGCGCCACCUCCGGUCUCGUCAUAAGCGUUGGUGACCUCAGAGAACUGGUCCCCGAUGACGGCGAGCUCCAGGAGAGGGGGCGCCGAGUGGUGGCGGAGGUGACGCGAGUGCUGGAGACGCACAGAGAGGGGCGUGUCUGGGUGAUGGGGUGGUCGGCCACCUACGAGACCUACCUCACCUUCCUGUCCAAGUUCCCCUUGGUUGACAAGGACUGGGAGCUCCAGCUGCUGCCGAUCACGGCGGUGCGCGCCGGCGGACUCAUGCCUCCGGCAACCACGGCAUCUCCUUUAUCCAAGUCCGCAAGCUUGGUGGAAUCGUUUGUUCCUUUUGGUGGACUUGUCAAUGGUUCCUACGAGUCUAACAGCCUCGCAGCGCAUCCUUGCCCGCAAACCCUCCGGUGUCAACAGUGCAAUGAUAGAUGUGAGCAAGAAGUCACAACAAUCGUUAAAGGGAGUGGCAUUACAGCUGAAGGCUAUCACCAUGGAGGUCUGCCUUCCCUGCUUCAGAAUGGCAGCAUGAUGGGUCUUAACAGUGGACUUGAUGCAAUCAAGGUUAGAGAUGAUCAGAUGGUGUUGAAAUCAAAAAUAUUGAAUCUGCAGAAGAAGUGGAACGAGUACUGCCUGCGGCUCCACCAAGGAAGCCAGAGGAUCAACGCAGGUCCUUACCAGGUAUUCCCACAUUACACUGGUGUUCCUGUUGACACAGAAAGAUCAGCAAUUCUGAGCAAAGGUUCCGAGUUGGUUACACUUCAAAGGGAGGUUAUUAGGCCUUCUGCAGUAUCUGCUACACAUACGAAUGCAACCCCAAACAAGAGUGUUUCACCUCCAUCUAUCUCCAACCAAAGGAACGAAGGCCUUGUGUUGAAUCUUCAAGGGAGGCAUUCAAAGGGUGAUGAGCAAUUUCAAGACAGGCAUGCGCAGUUGCGGCAAGAACACUUGUCAAGCUGCCAUGAUCGUGAAGAUAGCAUGUCGCCAUCAGCUGCUGCAUCCGUGGCAACGGAUUUGGUGUUGAGCACGCCCCGUGGAUCUUCUUCCAAGGGUACAAGUUCUGUGAGCUGGAAACAUGCAGUGGAUGCAGAGAAGUCUACCCACUUGACACCCAGUAAGGUGGAUGAUUUGAAUAUGAAGCCCCCACAGCCCUUUGCACAGUCUCAUAGCUCCCGGGGUUCCACAAAUAUGGGGCAACCAUCACCUAGUGCUCUGCAUUCACCAGCUUCAGGAGGUGUGUCUGCCUUUGGCCAAUGGCGAAAGCCUUCACACCUUUCAGUACAAGGUUCUGAUUUGAGCGACUACAAGCUACUCGUGGAACGCCUGUUCAAGGUAGUCGGAAGGCAGGAGGAAGCCCUGAGUGCUAUUUGUGGAUCCAUUGUUGGCUGCCAGUCAACAGAGAGGCGCCGCGGCACAAGCAGGAAGAGCGACAUCUGGUUCAGUUUUCAUGGUUUCGACAGCAUGGCCAAGCGGAGAGUUGCCGUGGCAUUGGCAGAGCUCGUGCACGGCAGCGAAGACAGCUUCAUUUAUCUGGACCUGAGCCUCCAGGAUUGGGGCGGCUCAAGUUUCAGAGGAAAGACUGGCAUAGAUUGCAUCGUUGAUGAGUUGAGCAAGAAGCGGCGCUGUGUGAUCUUCCUCGACAACAUUGAUAAAGUUGACUGCCUCAUUCAGGACAGUCUCUCUCAUGCCGUUGACACCGGUAGAUUCCGAGACAUGCGCGGCAAGGAAGUUGCCAUUAAUGACUCCAUAGUAAUAUUGUCAACAAGAUUGGCACGAUGCAGCAAAAAUGUCUCGGUUGGGGUGGAAGAGGGGCAUACUUUCUCCGAAGAGAAGAUCCUGGCUGCUAGAGGACAGCAACUGAAGAUCUUGAUAGAAUCAGGCACGGCGAUCACCAGCAGAGGCCCUAGUAGCAGUAAGGUGGUAGUUUCCCCUCACACCAAACUUCAGGCUUCUGUGUACUCUGGCUGUGUCAGUAAGCGGAAGCUGGACGUUUCUGACGACCAAGAAAAGCUGCUAGAAUCACCGAGCAAUCCCAAGCGGCCACACAGAACAUCAAGUGUGCCGUUCGACCUGAACCUCCCCGUCGGCGAGGAUGGAUCGAGCGACGCUGACGCCAACGACAGCAGCAGCAACGACAAUCCAGACGAGUCCAUCGACAGCCUCCUGGGAUUGGUUGACGGAGCGAUCGAAUUCAAGGCGUUCGACUUUGGCAAACUGGCCAACGACAUCCUCCAGGACCUGAGCAACGUACUCAGCAACAUCCUGGCCUCGGGCUGCACGUUGGAGGUCGACGAUGGCGCGAUGGAGCAAAUGCUUGCGGCGUCAUGGGCAUUGGAGGACGGGCGGCGGCCUCUGCGGGCCUGGCUGGAGCAGGUGUUCGCCAGGAGCCUCGAAGAGCUGAAGCUCAAGCACAGCAAGCACGCUGGCAGCUCUGCUCUUAGGCUAGUGGCCUGUGAGGACGGCACAGCAGCAGCAGCGACGGCGGCGAAGGAAGACGGCGGUUUUGGACCGCUGCUCCCCUCGAGAAUAAUCCUGGAGUGGCGAUGA